UACGUAGGGGGCGAGCGUUGUCCGGAAUUAUUGGGCGUAAAGGGCUCGUAGGCGGUUUGUCGCGUCGGGAGUGAAAACCCAGGGCUUAACUCUGGGCUUGCUUUCGAUACGGGCAGACUAGAGGUAUGCAGGGGAGAACGGAAUUCCUGGUGUAGCGGUGAAAUGCGCAGAUAUCAGGAGGAACACCGGUGGCGAAGGCGGUUCUCUGGGCAUUACCUGACGCUGAGGAGCGAAAGUGUGGGGAGCGAACAGG
rnacentral:rRNA from 1 species